rnacentral:rRNA from 1 species
ACCUGGCUCACACCGGUUUAAACUCAGAUCAUGUAAAAUUUUAAAGGUCGAACAGACCUAAUCUAUUAGCCUCUUCACCAACAAUUAAUUUUAAUCCAACAUCGAGGUCGCAAUCUUUUUUUUCGAUCAGAACUCUAAAAAAAAUUACGCUGUUAUCCCUAAGGUAAUUUAUUCUUAUAAUCUAAAUUUUAGGAUCAUAAACUCAUAAAUAAAUGAUUGUAUAUAAAAAAGUUCUUUAAAUUUUCUUAUCACCCCAACAAAAUAUUUUUUCAACUAGAAUACUUAUAAUCCUUUAUCUUUGCUAACUUUAAAAUAUUAAACUCUAUAGGGUCUUCUCGUCUUCUAUAAUCAUUUAAGCCUUUUAACUUAAAAAUAAAAUUCUAUUAAAUUUUUACUGAGACAGUAACUUUUUCAUCAAACCCUUCAUUCCAGCUUUCAAUUAAAAAACUAGUGAUUAUGCUACCUUUGCACGGUUAAAAUACCGCGGCCAUUUAACUACUCAUUGGGCAGGUUAGACCUAAAAUCAUACUCAAUA